rnacentral:rRNA from 1 species
AUUGAACGCUGGCGGCAUGCCUUACACAUGCAAGUCGAACGGCAGCACGGGAGCAAUCUUGGUGGCGAGUGGCGAACGGGUGAGUAAUAUAUCGGAACGUGCCCAGUCGUGGGGGAUAACGUAGCGAAAGCUACGCUAAUACCGCAUACGAUCUAUGGAUGAAAGCGGGGGAUCGCAAGACCUCGCGCGAUUGGAGCGGCCGAUAUCAGAUUAGGUAGUUGGUGAGGUAAAGGCUCACCAAGCCGACGAUCUGUAGCUGGUCUGAGAGGACGACCAGCCACACUGGGACUGAGACACGGCCCAGACUCCUACGGGAGGCAGCAGUGGGGAAUUUUUGGACAAUGGGCGGCAAGCCUGAUCCAGCAAUGCCGCGUGCAGGAUGAAGGCCC